CUUCAGAAUCUUGCUGUGGCUGGAGUCCACAAAGGUUAUCUUCUUGUUCCAAUGUUCCCUUCCUCAUGCUGUUGCUAUUUGUCCCAAGUAGUCGACCACUGCGUUCAGCCUUAAAGGUUUCAGACAUUUCAGAAUUUCCCUCUGAGAAAUUAUUGUCAUCUACAUCAAGGCUUUCUUGACUAGAGAAUGCAUCACUCUGAUUACGUAGUAAGUCUAUCAGAUCAUUCCCUUCAACCGUUUUACAGUCCUCGUUCAGGUCUAUAGUGAAGUCAACAUCGAGUCCCAAUUCUUCAUUUCGUGGACUCUCGCUCUCUUGAAGCGUUUUAUCGUCAUCAGAUGUCGCUUCGUGACUGUUGAGUAACCCUAUAAGAUCAUUGUUUUGGAUCGCCUCACUGUCCUUGCUCAGAUCUAUAGUAAAGUCAACAUCGAGUCCCAUUCCUCCACUUCGGGCUCUCUCGUUCAUAUCAUAAGGCAUCUCUUCCGCUUUUACACGAUCCCCGGACCGAAAAUCGUCAGAAUCGUUCCGUAUCCUCUUUGUCCCAUGAUCAAAACCUAAAGCAAUCUUAUCACCAAGAACAUCACAGUUAUCGUCAUUCAGUUCAGAACCAUCCUUAUUUAUUCCAGCAUCAGCAAUGUUUGAGUCUAUCAAAUAAUUAUCCACAUUCGCUUCUGGUUUAUCAACUUUCUUACCAAGAUCACCCAAAUCGACGUCAACCUCAUUUAUGCCCAAAUCGUCUAAAUUUACCACAUUAUCAACAUCUACCCCUAUAUCACCUUCACUUAUGCUAUCAUUAUCCCCAUUUAUCAUAUUACUUUCAACAGCUAUAUUUAUAUCAUCUUGAUUUAUCACAUCAUCGUCAUCCAAAUUUAUACCAAAAUUAUCAACAUCUACCCCUAUACUGCCCUCACUCAAGCUGUCAUUAUCCACAUUUACCCUAUCAUUAUCAACACCUACCCUAUGAUCACCCCCGCUCACUUGCGCACUAUCCAGACUAACCCUAUUAUAGUCAUCCUGAUUAGCUCUAUCGUGAUCGUUAAUCAUUAAAUCAUCAAUAAGCUGAUUCAUCAAAUCAAUAUCAGCAUUAUCAUCUAACAUGGUGGGAGGACUGCCAUCCAUUCCCGAUGGCGGAACGUUUGGCCCAAAUUCUUGGUCUCGUUCUUCAGAUGAUUCUCCUUCCGUUUCUAAUGUUCUAUCUUGUAAAAUGUUGAUCAAUUCCUCCUCGAUUUCGUUUCUACUCUCAUUGUCUGAAUUGAAAUUACUGACAACAAUCUGACUUAGGUCGUUCACGUCACUUUCAAUUCUGAUAGUUUCAUCAACGGUCCUUUCUGGGGAAUCUUUCGAUGCCCGAAAUGUCGUUGUAUGAGUAUUUUGAUCAACAGAUUUCAUAUGUGUUGGCAAGAUAUCUUUUUGUUUUAAUGCUUCAAAAUACGAAGAUUGUUUUUGUUUGGCUCCAUCAUGCACGUGCCGCGAAUGCUCAAUUCCUCGUUCUUUUUCUUGCAUUUUGUGUUGCGACUUUUCUUCGUGUCCAGGCAAAUUUCUGCGCUCUAUUUCAUGCUGUUGUUCUCGCUGUUCGUUUUCCAGACUAGUUCGUUCGUUCUGUAGUGCAGGAAUUUCGUGUUGUGGUGAAGGUAUUUCGUGCCGUGGUGCAGGAGGGAAAUUCGUGUCGUGUUCUGUGUCACAUAUAUCGUGCUGUACAUCAAGCACGGCAUGCUCGAGUAUCUUGUGCGGUGAUGCAGGCAUUUCAUGCCGCUGUGACCCGUUUAUACCGUUGAUUUGAGGUAUUCCGUGUUGUAGUUGCUCUGUUUCGUUCUGAAGGUGAUUGGGAAUCUUUGGUUGUUGGCGAACGUGUGGUUGGGAAUCUUUGCGUAAGGGAUUAUCGCCAAUCUUGCCCAUAAUAUUAUUCUCAGUAUUUCCAAAUUGAAGAGUUUCGUUACUCCCUUCAACAUUCAAAUUUCCACUAACCAUUGACAAGCUCUCUCCUUUUAAUUCCAAUUUCCCUUUUUCCCAUUCGUUAAUUCUUUUUUCCUCUUCUAUCAAUUUUUCUCGUUCCAUUCUCAACUGUUGUUUCUGUUGUCGAAACAUUUCUUCCAGUUUCGCCUGUUCUUCCUGCAAACUGUCUUUCAGCUCGUCUUGUGAUUGCAAACCGCUGGACGACUGACUGCAUAACAACAUUAAUUCUUCCUCUUCUACGUCAUCAUCAAACUCGUCACUAGAUCCCUGCUCGGAAUCAAACCCGUCACCAUUCUCCUGGAGUAGUACACGGUCUUCUGUAUGUGAUAAAUUCGUAAAAUCACCAGAGACCUCCUUCGAAUCCCGUGGCUCUCGAAUGUCCUGCUUAAUAAUAUGUCCAGUUACCCCUAAUGAAUCCUCGUUAUCAAGUACCAUCUCCUUUUCAACACCACCAUUCACCCCAGUUAUCCCUAAAGACCUCUCAUGAUCUAGCAUCAUCCCCUUUGUCUCAUCCGAAUUCGAAAUUUGUUCAACACCAACAUCAUUCUUGACAAACUUCCGAAAUGCUCCCUCACCAUUGAGAAUCUGACCCCCACUUGUGCCCAAACCAAAUGAUGAAUUAAACGAUGACGCAAUAUUGCAAUUUAUGGCAUCAUUGUUUAACGGAAGUGACGCAAGGCUAGUGUCUGAUUUGCUUAACUUGGCAACAUUCUGCCUAGCUCGACAAAGUUGUAUUUGAGCAUUGAAAUACGUUUCUUCUAUUUCAUUUCUUGUCGCGAUAGCAUCGAUCACUUGCGCAAGCCGCACGCGUUGUUCAUUCUUGAUACGCGUCCAGUGGUCAAUCGCUUCUCUGGCAUUCUUUAAGAGCACUUCACGUGAUUUAUCAUCACGUGAUAUAUUUUCGUCAUCACGCGAUUUAUUUUCGCGGUCACGUGAAAAAUUUUCAAAAUCACGUGAACUACUUUUUGGAUAAUCUGAACGAUUUUCGAGACCAUAUGAACUUUCUUUGUGAUCACGUGAACUAUUUUCAGGGUAACUGGUAGAAGUUUGAAAAUCUUUCGAAUGUGAUUCAUUUGAUACUCCAAAGACGCUUUCAUUCAAGAACACGCUAACAUUAUUACUUGACAAAACGGGAUUGGUAGAAAUUUGAGUGGACAGAUUAUCUAUAUGCCUUUUGUCUUGAUUGCGAUAUGUUCCAAAUGCUGUAAUGGAAUUAUUUUGUGCUAAAGGAUUUCCAAGUUCGCAUAAUCGUUUCAGACUACUGCAUCCAUCCAACAAAUCAAUAUGAGACGGUGGAUUUCUAUUACCAUGCUUUUCUGAUCUUAAACCUUUAACCAAAUAUCCACUGUCAAAACAACCUGUGUUGUGGGAAUCCUUUGGAAGUAAACCUAUCGUAGCUUUCUUUUUGUCAGCGUUUCUAUUGGCAGUUUCUUUUGUACGACCAGCAGAAGGUUUGAACAAACUGUUCAUUUUUUCAGUUUCGCUACUUCUGUUUAGCGUCGAAGUUAAAUUCAUUAAACUUGACCCUCCAUUCCAUAAAUUCGUCGCUCCUUGCAUUUCAUUUCUUGAUUGUGGCACUUUGUCUUGUUUUGAAAUGUUGCCUUUUUCAAAAGCUUUUCCAUUUUGAUGUUCUAAACUUCUAUCCAGACUUGAACCAAGAUUGAUGUCUUCUUGUUCCGAACUAAAGUUUCCCUCCCCGCCUUUUUCAGCUACCUCUCUGAGUUCCUCCUCAAGUAUCAGCUGUUCGUACAAUAAUUCCUGAUCUCGUAGCCUUCGUCGGAUAUCAGCCAAGCGGGAAUUCCCGUCCCCAGUCCCCACAUCUGUAGCCUUGGACCUGGUGACGUCAUCAUUCGAUAUAGUGGUCGAGCUCAUGACAUCAUCGUGCCAGCGUUUACUUGAUACAUCUGUGGAUGAAAUUGUUGAGCGUAAAUGUACCCGACGUUUUGGCAAUGAAUUCCCAUGAUGAGAUGACUCUUGAUCUGAGCU